GGAGGUGUCCGUGCACCUGGUGGGCACCGCCGCCUUCAAAGCGGUUGGAGCAGGCGAUCCCUGCUCGGCGGGUUCGAUUCCCGUCCACCUCCGCCA
rnacentral:tRNA from 1 species